rnacentral:misc_RNA from 1 species
CUAAUGACAGGUGUGGGGGAAGGACGGGGUGGGGUGCGGGUCAUGCUGGGACAGGAUAAGCUGGCCAGGAUCAGCGAGCUGCUCUACCACGAGGAGGCAGCUCACGAGGCUGCCCACACCCUCGGUGGCCACGACACACUUGGUCCCCCACCUGAUUUUGUCUUACAGGAGGCAGACACGGUGCUCAAGACGCAUGAUGAUCUGCGCAACUUUUGGCGUAAAUACCACCACGUGCAGUUGGAGCGUCUUGCUCUGCGCAGUGAAGGGGAGGUCCUACGACAAGAGGGACGACAUUUGCGGGGCCUCCUGAAGAAGUACUUUGUGUCCUUGGGAGUGACGGACGCAGCACUGUCCCAGUCGGCAGCCCCGGUCACUGUAUCACACCUCAACCUCAGCCACAACCAGCAAGACCCAAGACACCCAUCACGGAGACGGUCGCAUUCAGUCCCUGUGGGUGGUGUUGGCUGCAUUCCUACAGUGCAUGGUGACUCGAAGGGGGCUUCCAAGAUGAGGGAGGUGGUGGCCGUGCAAGAGGCCCAUCUGCUGGUGCGCUCCGCUGCCCUCCACUCUCUCCCCAGACUCCGUACAUGCUGACUUCUCACUCUCUGCCUCUACUUGUUUGUCAACUCCUGGAAUAUUAUAAACCUAUUAAGAAAAACCUGUUAUGUCUGUGUUCUCCAGCCAUAGUGCGUUUUUUCCCAGCUGAGAAGAGAUGCCCCGCUCCCUCCUCAAGAGUUACAGCUGAUUGGCUGUUGCAAAUCUGUCCGAUUUAUUAUAGUCCAGUGACCAGCAUCUAUUACGAAACACCCUGGUAAAUGACUGCCAACAUAGUUUUAUGCCUGGACGCUUCUUCUUGACAUAAUUAAAGAUGCUGAAUGGUUAGACUCAAAUUCUGGAACAUGGUAGCAAAAUCAACAAUAUAUUGUAUAUCUGUUCUUUGCCAAGGCAUUCAACAGUGUACCCCAAUGAAAGGCUGAGAAUUAAACUGGAAGGGUAUGGGAUUCGCCUGUGUAUAAAAUCAGUCAUUACAAAUAGACAAACAUCCUAUCUUCAAUUAGUACUGUUAUUAUACAAGUAUAAUUCAAGAAUAUACUGUACAUAAAUUAUGUAUGUUGUCUAACUAAUAAAAUGUGCAUGUGUAUGA